GGGCCGGUCGCGUUGUGAAGCGGUCCGUAUUCCGUGCCUUCUUACAGCACUGAACAUCCCACGUCUUGGUUGGACUUCCUGGUACAGGAUACUUGCAGUUGGCAUGGAGUUAUGAAGCAGCAUGGUGUACUUUUAUGAAAAGCACAGAUUUCACCAGUAUAGAAGCAGUUCAUCAAAAAAAAAAACGUGUGCUGAAAAUAAAGUGUUCCUACCCACAU